rnacentral:lncRNA from 1 species
GCAUGCACCACAAAUGUUACCUUCUUCUUCUCCCAUGCAUGCACCACAAAUGAUAUCCCAUGCAUGCACCACAAGUGUUAUCAUGUUACCUCAAACUCAUACACUAUUUACUUAAUGGCGUCCAAGAGCCUUUUUUUUCUUUAAUAUAUUUUUUUUCUCAAUAAUAAUGGAACAAAAAUAGAUGAAUAGAAAGACACUAAUAAUAUAAAAUAAAAAAUAAUUAAUAGGUGCUCAAGAUGAAUACUUCCAAGAUGAAAACCUUUCAGCUUCAUGACUCAUGAAAAAUACUCCUAUGGUAAAGGUUUCUCACCUUCGCUCAUUAUUUCUCAUG